rnacentral:rRNA from 2 species
UGAGGAAUAUUGGUCAAUGGGCGCAGGCCUGAACCAGCCAAGUAGCGUGAAGGAUGACUGCCCUAUGGGUUGUAAACUUCUUUUAUAUGGGAAUAAAGUUUUCCACGUGUGGAAUUUUGUAUGUACCAUAUGAAUAAGGAUCGGCUAACUCCGUGCCAGCAGCCGCGGUAAUACGGAGGAUCCGAGCGUUAUCCGGAUUUAUUGGGUUUAAAGGGAGCGUAGGUGGAUAGUUAAGUCAGUUGUGAAAGUUUGCGGCUCAACCGUAAAAUUGCAGUUGAUACUGGCUGUCUUGAGUACAGUAGAGGUGGGCGGAAUUCGUGGUGUAGCGGUGAAAUGCUUAGAUAUCACGAAGAACUCCGAUUGCGAAGGCAGCUCACUGGACUGCAACUGACACUGAUGCUCGAAAGUGUGGGUAUCAAACAGGAUUAGAUACCCUGGUAGUCCACACAGUAAACGAUGAAUACUCGCUGUUUGCGAUAUACAGUAAGCGGCCAAGCGAAAGCAUUAAGUAUUCCACCUGGGGAGUACGCCGGCAACGGUGAAACUCAAAGGAAUUGACGGGGGCCCGCACAAGCGGAGGAACAUGUGGUUUAAUUCGAUGAUACGCGAGGAACCUUACCCGGGCUUAAAUUGCAUUUGAAUAUAUUGGAAACAGUAUAGCCGUAAGGCAAAUGUGAAGGUGCUGCAUGGUUGUCGUCAGCUCGUGCCGUGAGGUGUCGGCUUAAGUGCCAUAACGAGCGCAACCCUUAUCUUUAGUUACUAACAGGUCAUGCUGAGGACUCUAGAGAGACUGCCGUCGUAAGAUGUGAGGAAGGUGGGGAUGACGUCAAAUCAGCACGGCCCUUACGUCCGGGGCUACACACGUGUUACAAUGGGGGGUACAGAAGGCAGCUACCUGGUGACAGGAUGCUAAUCCCAAAAGCCUCUCUCAGUUCGGAUCGAAGUCUGCAACCCGACUUCGUGAAGCUGGAUUCGCUAGUAAUCGCGCAUCAGCCAUGGCGCGGUGAAUACGUUCCC